rnacentral:rRNA from 1 species
AGUGAACGCUGGCGGCAGGCCUAAUACAUGCAAGUCGAACGGCAGCACAGCAGAGCUUGCUCUGUGGGUGGCGAGUGGCGGACGGGUGAGGAAUACAUGGGAAUCUGCCCAGUCGUGGGGGAUAACGUAUGGAAACGUACGCUAAUACCGCAUGCGCCCUACGGGGGAAAGCCGGGGACCGCAAGGCCUGGCGCGAUUGGAUGAGCCCAUGUUCGAUUAGCUAGUUGGCGGGGUAAAGGCCCACCAAGGCGACGAUCGAUAGCUGGUCUGAGAGGAUGAUCAGCCACACUGGAACUGAGACACGGUCCAGACUCCUACGGGAGGCAGCAGUAGGGAAUAUUGGACAAUGGGGGCAACCCUGAUCCAGCCAUGCCGCGUGAGUGAAGAAGGCCUCGGUUGUAAGACUCUUCUAGACGGAAGAAAACGACAUCGGUGAAUACCGACUGUGGAGUGACGGUACCGUAAGAAGA